AGUUGGUGGAGUGAUUUGUCUGCUUAAUUGCGAUAACGAACGAGACCUUAACCUGCUAAAUAGUUACGCGAACCUCUGCGUUCGUGGCCAACUUCUUAGAGGGACUUUCGCGUGUUUUAACCGAAGGAAGUUUGAGGCAAUAACAGGU
rnacentral:rRNA from 1 species